rnacentral:rRNA from 1 species
UACGGAGGGGGCUAGCGUUGUUCGGAAUUACUGGGCGUAAAGCGCACGUAGGCGGCUUUGUAAGUCAGAGGUGAAAGCCCGGAGCUUAACUCCGGAAUAGCCUUUGAGACUGCAUCGCUUGAAUCCAGGAGAGGUGAGUGGAAUUCCGAGUGUAGAGGUGAAAUUCGUAGAUAUUCGGAAGAACACCAGUGGCGAAGGCGGCUCACUGGACUGGUAUUGACGCUGAGGUGCGAAAGCGUGGGGAGCAAACAGG